GAUGAACGCUGGCGGCGUGCCUAAUACAUGCAAGUCGAGCGAACAGACGAGGAGCUUGCUCCUCUGACGUUAGCGGCGGACGGGUGAGUAACACGUGGAUAACCUACCUAUAAGACUGGGAUAACUUCGGGAAACCGGAGCUAAUACCGGAUAAUAUAUUGAACCGCAUGGUUCAAUAGUGAAAGACGGUUUUGCUGUCACUUAUAGAUGGAUCCGCGCCGCAUUAGCUAGUUGGUAAGGUAACGGCUUACCAAGGCAACGAUGCGUAGCCGACCUGAGAGGGUGAUCGGCCACACUGGAACUGAGACACGGUCAAGACUCCUACGGGAGGCAGCAGUAGGGAAUCUGCCGCAAUGGGCGAAAGCUUGACGGAGCAACGCCGCGUGAGUGAUGAAGGUCUUCGGAUCGUAAAACUCUGUUAUUAGGGAAGAACAAAUGUGUAAGUAACUAUGCACGUCUUGACGGUACCUAAUCAGAAAGCCACGGCUAACUACGUG
rnacentral:rRNA from 1 species